UCAUCCAGUGUCUGGGAUCCAA
rnacentral:misc_RNA from 1 species